rnacentral:lncRNA from 1 species
CUAGGAUGAUUUGUCUAAGGGUUGAAAUUUGUUGCAGAGAGAGGGGUUCGUCAUUUGUCCACCGCGGGUUCUUCUUCGUUGGAAGGGGAUUGUAUACAUGCAUGUAUUCCGACGCUUAAGUGAGUGAGAGAUUAAAGGGAGUGAGACAAUUGUACGGGUGAAGAGUGAGAUUUUUUAUUUUUAUUUUUUUUGUUUUAGUAAAGAGAGAGGUAUCUGACCUUAUGCUAGCUGUGCUUUUAAAUUCAUAUAGAAUAAGUAAAAUUUUAGUUGUCAAGUCUUCACCUAAACAGAUAUCAUUAGAGACAUUUGUAUUAAUUUGAUAAGGAUUUUAACAUUGGUUCUGAACUGGACGGUCUAGAUUGAUGGGUUUGGACCUCUAUCUAAUGAGAUUUAAGGCAUGUCAAUAGCAUGAACUCACUCUUAAGUAAGUCCUCAUCGCCAAUCAUUAUGAUUAUUGCCUUAAUUUUUUUUAAAACC